rnacentral:rRNA from 1 species
UACGGAGGGGGCUAGCGUUGUUCGGAAUUACUGGGCGUAAAGCGUACGUAGGCGGCUUUUUAAGUCAGGGGUGAAAGCCUGGAGCUCAACUCCAGAAUUGCCUUUAAGACUGCAUCGCUUGAAUCCAGGAGAGGUGAGUGGAAUUCCGAGUGUAGAGGUGAAAUUCGUAGAUAUUCGGAAGAACACCAGUGGCGAAGGCGGCUCACUGGACUGGUAUUGACGCUGAGGUGCGAAAGCGUGGGGAGCAAACAGG